GAUGAACGCUGGCGGCGUGCCUAAUACAUGCAAGUCGAGCGAACGGACGAGAAGCUUGCUUUUCUGAUGUUAGCGGCGGACGGGUGAGUAACCCGUGGAUAACCUACCUAUAAGACUGGGAUAAAUUCGGGAAACCGGAGCUAAUACCGGAUAAUAUUUUGAACCGCAUGGUUCAAAAGUGAAAGACGGUCUUGCUGUCACUUAUAGAUGGAUCCGCGCUGCAUUAGCUAGUUGGUAAGGUAACGGCUUACCAAGGCAACGAUGCAUAGCCGACCUGAGAGGGUGAUCGGCCACACUGGAACUGAGACACGGUCCAGACUCCGACGGGAGGCAGCAGUAGCGAAUCUUCCGCAAUGGGCGAAAGCCUGACGGAGCAACGCCGCGUGAGUGAUGAAGGUCUUCGGAUCGUAAAACUCUGUUAUUAGGGAAGAACAUAUGUGUAAGUAACUGUGCACAUCUUGACGGUACCUAAUCAGAAAGCCACGGCUAACUACGUG
rnacentral:rRNA from 1 species